AAAGGGAGAUUAAUACCCCAUAAUAUUUAGAAUGGCAUCAUUUUAAAUUGAAAACUCCGGUGGAUAGAGAUGGGCACGCGCAAGAUUAGAUAGUUGGUGAGGUAACGGCUCACCAAGUCUACGAUCUUUAGGGGGCCUGAGAGGGUGAUCCCCCACACUGGUACUGAGACACGGACCAGACUCCUACGGGAGGCAGCAGUGAGGAAUAUUGGACAAUGGGUGAGAGCCUGAUCCAGCCAUCCCGCGUGAAGGACGACGGCCCUAUGGGUUGUAAACUUCUUUUGUAUAGGGAUAAACCUACUCUCGUGAGAGUAGCUGAAGGUACUAUACGAAUAAGCACCGGCUAACUCCGUGCCAGCAGCCGCGGUAAUACGGAGGGUGCAAGCGUUAUCCGGAUUUAUUGGGUUUAAAGGGUCCGUAGGCGGAUCUGUAAGUCAGUGGUGAAAUCUCACAGCUUAACUGUGAAACUGCCAUUGAUACUGCAGGUCUUGAGUGUUGUUGAAGUAGCUGGAAUAAGUAGUGUAGCGGUGAAAUGCAUAGAUAUUACUUAGAACACCAAUUGCGAAGGCAGGUUACUAAGCAACAACUGACGCUGAUGGACGAAAGCGUGGGGAGCGAACAGGAUUAGAUACCCUGGUAGUCCACGCCGUAAACGAUGCUAACUCGUUUUUGGGCUUUCGGGUUCAGAGACUAAGCGAAAGUGAUAAGUUAGCCACCUGGGGAGUACGUUCGCAAGAAUGAAACUCAAAGGAAUUGACGGGGGCCCGCACAAGCGGUGGAUUAUGUGGUUUAAUUCGAUGAUACGCGAGGAACCUUACCAAGGCUUAAAUGGGAAAUGACAGGUUUAGAAAUAGACUUUUCUUCGGACAUUUUUCAAGGUGCUGCAUGGUUGUCGUCAGCUCGUGCCGUGAGGUGUUAGGUUAAGUCCUGCAACGAGCGCAACCCCUGUCACUAGUUGCCAUCAUUAAGUUGGGGACUCUAGUGAGACUGCCUACGCAAGUAGAGAGGAAGGUGGGGAUGACGUCAAAUCAUCACGGCCCUUACGCCUUGGGCCACACACGUAAUACAAUGGCCAGUACAGAGGGCAGCUACACGGUGACGUGAUGCAAAUCUCGAAAGCUGGUCUCAGUUCGGAUUGGAGUCUGCAACUCGACUCUAUGAAGCU
rnacentral:rRNA from 1 species